GGCCAACUGCUAAACUACGUAGCACCUGCUAUCUAGGAAGGAUUUUUUAUGUCGAAAUCAUGAUGGGGCCAUGUGUAGUAAAUCGUUCUGCUUCUCUUCCAAUUUGCACCAUCUGUACAUUUUUGUUUUAUCAUGUCUACUGCUUGACAUUUAAAGACAAUCAUUGUGAGCUGUAGUAGGGUCAAUGUUUGUACGGAAUAUUUUUUUCCGUUUGUAACAAUUCGUGUUAGAUAUUUAGGGCCAUGUGUACGAAUCAAACUUUUUGAAAUUCUAGUCGCGUCUAUCAUGCAUUUUCUCGUCGUUCCAUAUUGAUUGUCAUUGUGAAAAAAAAAUCCUAGGGCCAUGUGUACAAACCUGUCAUCGCCGUUUUGAAGAUAUUUCUGCCAGACCCAAUUUUUCUUGCGUUAUCUUCUGUACUAAUGUGACAGAUUAUUUACAGGAUUCCAGGGCCAUGUGAACAUGUCUUACUUUGUUUUUGUAAAAAGUCUUUCCAAUUUAUUAUGCGAAAUUAUUUAGGGCCAUGUGAAGUAGUGUAGAGAUCUUCUAUUCCUCCGUUCUGUAGAAAUUUCUGCAAUUUUCUUGAAAGCUGCUUGUGCAUUCAUCCCGUCUUAAGUGCGAAUCAUCGUGUCAUAUACUCUAGGGUCAUGUGUUAAGUAUCCAUAGCUAUUUUGAAGCUUAAAACAGCCCAAAUGUUGGAUCUAAGUUUUCUUGUAUACUCUGUAUUCCUCACCUGUUGUAACUUCACCGUGGUUAAUGGAGUGAAAUAUUCUAUAGGGCCAUGUUUAAGAAUCUACUAUAUUUGUCCAUGUGACAAAAAAUUUCUUGGAGAUCUAUUGUUUAAAAAAGCUCUACAUGUAAAGGGCCAUGUGCAGAUCUUACAGAUUCAUUGAAACAUGUAGCGGUCGUGAAACGUAAUCAGAAUGAUGGUUUCAACGACUCCACGAUUAUUUUGUGACAUGAAAUAGUCUCUGAUCCUUGUCGAAAUGUGUCUUACGGACAUGAAGUAUUGUUUGUGAUUUGUUCUUCAAUAAUAUCCUAUUCGCAAAGAUCGAUAAUUGCCUUUUGUGUUAGGGCCAUUGUGUCAAUUUUGUUUAUUGAAAAUCAGGUGUAAUGACACCUGUAGAGUCGGAUACACUUUGUAAUCGCUCUGUAAAGUGUAUAGCCUGAAUUUACAGGAUGAAACAAUGUGCAUUAAUUAAUUUAACAACCACAACACCAGUGGAGGAUUUGAUCGAUGGUAAAUUUGAAUUCUGAUAAGUCCGAUCACAGCUGGUCGGCAAUGUGAAUGUUGUUUCCCUUUGAACCGCGUUGCGCGUCAGUGGAUGCGCGUUGCUUUGCGCAAACUGGAAUAUCAUCUUCGCGACCAGCAGGCCAAAUUAUCUAUUUAGAAUAAACUAAGCUUUCAUUCUCAACGGUUGAAUCCAUUACAGUGGUCAGGUAAGGGCCACAAAAUGGAUUAUUUUCACUGUUUGUAUGUAAGAUACUUUGCAUCAUUAGGCUUAGAGAUCUAAGUAGCGUAGACCUAAACUAAGUUUCCCUUUUUUCUCUCCCUAUGGUUGUAUCUUUAUAGUGGUCAGGUAAGGACUACUAAUAUAUACGUUUCCUUCUCUUUAUACCACAGCACCGGUCACAAAUUUGAUCAGGAAUCCACUGUAAAUUGUAGUAACAAAACCUAGCUCCGCUAGGAAGACUUCUUUUAUUUUCAGCAACUUGCAAUUAGAUUAGGAGGACCGGCAAGCCAGAGUGCUCAUGUCAGGAGCUGAUGACACGAAGGAACCGGAAGCAGGGAGGAGGAGCACCGGGUGGCUGGAUGACCCUGCUUGCCGGGCAUCCCAUUACUGAUUUCCCAGAGAUGACGGUCUGCAAGAUACAAUCACUUCUGAAUCCCAAGGAGCCGGAAGCAGGGAGGAGUACCGACGGAAGGACUGAUGACCUGCUUGCAGGGCAAGUCUUCACCAAUUCUUGAGAUUCCUCUUGUUUGUGUAAGCAGCAGAGACGAUGACAAUAUACAUAACGGAGUGCAGUUGCUCACCAAGGCAGGAACACGGAUUUUAGCAACAUUCGACUGAGUUUUACACUAGCUAGCUCCUGAAAGUUCCCAUAAGUUUCUCUUAAAAAGUCGUCACAUUUUAAUAAUCCGAGGGAUGUAUAAA